ensembl:lncRNA
AGGCUUCAUCAGAGAGACUGAAUCAGAGCUCUAAUUUGCUUGGACAACUUGACAGCCUAUUUGAGAAGAAUUGAAAGAAAUAGAUUUUUAUGUCCUAAAAUGUCCUAAGCACCCAAACAAGAGAAAAAUGUACCAUGCUUCCGCAGACAUUAAAUCUCUGUUAAGGAUGAAGAGCUGGCCUCCUCUUGGUUGGGUACUGUAUACAUACUCUUAAAUUCAGUGAACUGCAGAGCUGGUGUCACAUCAGAAGAGCAUGAAGGCAAACACAGACCCAAGCAUCCUUGUCUCUGGGCUCUGCUGCAGUUCUGCAAGUCGUAGCUGUUCUGCUGCUUGUGCUCAGCUGCUCCUCACAGAGGUAUGGUCUCAGUCACCCAUUUCCUGACUGACCAGAAAACAGAGAAAUCUCUCAGAAGAAAUAUUUUCUAAUGUAUUUCCAGUAAAGAUGAAGUGCUUUGGCCAGUGCCUGUAGUCUGAUCUAGGCCAAUGACUUUAAUUCUUGGGAAAAGCAGGAAAAGAAGAGAGGCUGAAUUCAUUGAGGCAAACUUUAUAGCUGCAUACUUAUUUUUCCUAUUCACCAUAAUAGCUUUCAAUCACUUUUUUUUUGUCAAAACUUUUUGCUUCUACAGAUUUAUUGAAAACUUCCGUAUUGACUGCAGUGUUCUGCCAUUAGUUCUUCAAAAUUGCACGUAGUUCAGACCCUAUUCAUUGCUUCAGACCAUUACAGCAUGUAUGUGGGUGUAUUUCUCAAUCUGGGUCUAAGAAUACCAGGAACCAUUUGCUUAUUGCUUAAGAUAAUAUUCAAAUAUGAAGGUUUUUUUGUAUAGCAUUUGCAAUUGUUUUUCUCAGAAAUGUUCACUAACAGUUUUCAUCCUUUCACCUGAAAUCAAUUAUGGACUGCUAUCCAGAGGUCCUUUUACCUCCAAAAAUACGCUGCUUGUGCCAUUUAUCAGUUGAAUGGUUGACGUCUCCACUUCAGUGACCAUAGUGUCAGGCAUAUAGUUUCUUCAGUGACUCUGACUUAAAACCAUUCCAUACAUCUUCAUGUCUGAUAUAACUCAGCAUAGGAGUAAAAUUAGAAAAAUACAUUAAUAGUGAUGCGUAUUUGGAUAUUGAGAGUAGAAAGAAAUAAUGGAAGAAAUGUAACGCCUUCUGCAUUAUGAAACAUGUUUGUUGCUCAUAAGUCAUUGAAUUUGUGUUGAGAUUUCAAUCUUUCCGAAUCACAGGAAGGAGUGGGCUCUCCAAGUCCAAGACAGAACAGUGAUGCUCCUUUUAGCUCAAACUUUUACCAAAUAUCAUAUAAAAUAAUAGCUGUAUAGCAGUCUCAAUUCACAUUUUAAGGAUUCCUGUCUUAGAAUGAAACAUCUCUUGGAAUAUAUAGAAAAUACAAUUGUUAUUAUUAUUAUUAAAUCAAGAUUUAAAUCUCUAUUAAGUCAUGCUUGAUCAGCCUGAUAAGCUUCUAUGAUGACAUGACCAGCCUAAUGUAUGAGAGGAAACCAAUGGUUGUUGUCUUCCUAAAUGGUAAAUCCUAAAGUCUUC